CGCAGCUUGCGCACUCCUUUUCGUCUGCAUAAUAUUGUAGACCGUUUUGCACUACACUACAGGUUACCGAGACUACUGGCCGUGCAAAGCACAGAAUACACCUGAAUAUGAUCUUUCGUUCUGCCUUGCUGGUAAUAUUUACGGCCUACUUUAUAAGGCAUACAUCUGCAAGAGUUCGUAUAUGGCCACUGAAAUUUGCUAAUGACUCAUGUUAUUUUGGUGGAUAUUCUUUACCGAAUAAGGCAUGCCUCGACUUAUCCGAUCCUUGUUUAAGUUUGUGUUGCCGAACAAAAAAGUCCAUGCUUCAAAUAAUUGGGUGCCCGCUUCCACAGGGGCUUAAGGUAACAGCGAAACCAGAGGAUUUAUUCUGGCCCUCAUGUUGCAGUGUAGCGGAGACCUCGCGGCGUCCGAGGCGCAGGGAACGGUCUACAAGUGGUUCAACUACUGCACCGAAAAGAUCCAGACUGCGUCGAGAACAGUCUUGAAAUUUGUAAAGCUGACUUUCGCGACCUGAUACACAAAGGUGUUUCUUCGUUUACUUUCACAGAAGGAAAUGCGAGUAGAAAAAUAAAGCAAGUAGUGAC